UACAGCUUUAGGUUUUCUUCUGGAAAAUAAUCUUAACCCCAGAGAAGUGUUUAAAUCUUCACUGAGUGCUGAACUCAAAUACUCUGUCGAGUGUGCACCCCACAGUGCACACUCGACUGCAAAGACACGACGUACAACAAUGUUCAUUAUUCAAAUACAUCACAUAGAAUUCAGAAAUAAAAGCAGACAAGAACAUUGUACCAGAUGAAGAAUCAAUUCAUUCAGACUUCAAAUCGAGAAAAUGAACGAUAUUUAAAGAAAUACAUGGAUAUAACUGAAACAGACCAAGCAGAUUUCCCUGAAAUACAUUAUUGAUUAAUGAGGAACUCGAGAACAAUCAGACAGUGGACAAGUAACUAGUUCUAAUGCCACAUAUUUCAUCUACUGUUCCCUCGAGCAGUGACGUCAUGCUAAUGGAAACUAUUCUCAGAACAAAGAGUGAAGAAAAAUAGGAAUAAAUAACUGAAUUUACAAACGAACUCAAAGUCAUAAUAUUAGUUAUGUUAGCUCGCUUACUAGUAAACAUGGCUAAUUUUAAUAUUUACACACAGCAUUAGCGUAACGCUAGCUCUCUUCAGCUAAUUUUAGUAUUCACACAGAGUUAGCGUAACGCUAGCUCUCUUCAGCUAAUUUUAGUAUUCACACAGAGUUAGCGUAACGCUAGCUCUCUUCAGCUAAUUUUAGUAUUCACACAGAAGUUAGCGUAACGCUAGCUCUCUUCAGCUAAUUUUAGUAUUCACACAGCGUUAGCGUUACAGAACUUCACUUGGUAACAAACAGGGAAUCUAUGAAGGUGAAGGUAAAGAAUUCGGGGUCUUCUCUACUGCUCUCAGUGGACAGUGUUUCCAUUCUGCUGGAGGAGAGGGAGUCCGUUGUUCUCAGCAUUCUCACGGAGCUGCUGAUUUUCUCUCCUCAGACGCACAUACAUCACCAACAGGAACACAAACGCAGAUACAAGCAGCAGUACCAUCAGUACAACCACCCACACUGGUACACCUUCCUGCUGCUUGACGUCUGGACACGGCUCUGUAAAACACACAGAGAGAGAAACGACCCUGUGAGUCCCAUUCCAGCGUCACACAUUAUGUACAGCAUGUGGUGAUGAAGCACGGCUCUGAUACCAACUUUAACAUGCAGCAGAACCUCUCUCAGAUAUUCUCUCUUCACUUCUACACCCAGGUGCAGCCUACAGCCUUCUGUUCUUUCCACAUCAAACCUGUACAUCAUCCAUUAUUCCAGGAUUGACCAUCAACACAUCUGACUCAGUGCAGUGUGCACACUGGUCCUGUGUGUGUGUGUGUGUGUG
ensembl:lncRNA